CCAGCCCGCUCAGAACUCAAAGGAAUUGACGGGGCCGCACAAGCGGUGGAGCAUGUGGUUUAAUUCGAUGAUACGCGAGGAACCUUACCUGGGCUCAAAUGUAUGUUGACGUAUUCUGAAAGGGAUACUUCUUCGGACAAUAUACAAGGUGCUGCAUGGUUGUCGUCAGCUCGUGCCGUGAGGUGUCGGGUUAAGUCCCAUAACGAGCGCAACCCCUAUCAUUAGUUGCCAUCAGGUCAAGCUGGGGACUCUAAUGAAACUGCCUACGCAAGUAGUGAGGAAGGUGGGGAUGACGUCAAAUCAGCACGGCCCUUACGUCCAGGGCUACACACGUGCUACAAUGGCCGGUACAAAGGGCAGCUACCUGGUGACAGGAUGCAAAUCUCCAAAGUCGGUCUCAGUUCGGAUCGGAGUCUGCAACCCGACUCCGUGAAGUUGGAUUCGCUAGUAAUCGCGCAUCAGCCAUGGCGCGGUGAAUACGUUCCCGGGCCUU
rnacentral:rRNA from 1 species